rnacentral:sRNA from 1 species
UCGUAACAAGGUUUCCGUAGGUGAACCUGCGGAAGGAUCCUUAUAGAUGCAUUCGUGCUUCAUACACCCGUGAACCGUUCUAUACAAACUCUAGUGUUGUCGUCGUAUGUCAAACAAAUAAAUAUAACUUUCAGCAACGGAUCUCUUGGCUCGUGCAUCGAUGAAGAACGCAGCGAAAUGCGAUAAGUAAUGUGAAUUGCAGAAUUCAGUGAAUCAUCGAAUCUUUGAACGCACCUUGCGCUCUYUGGUAUUCCGGAGAGCAUGCCUGUUUGAGCGCCUUAAAAUACUGGGCUCGUUACCUCGGUGACUUGCGCGAAUUGAGCGUUGCCUCUGGCUCGCUCUGAAUGCAUUAGCAGUGAAAGACUGUAAGCGACGUGAUAAGUAUUUCGUCGUGAAGGUCCGAUCCGCUCCUAAUCGUCCUCGGACAAUACCAAAUGCUAGGCAUCAAAUCAGGUAGGACUACCCGCUGAACUUAAGCAUAUC